UGCGGUGUUUGGUUUUUUGUUCUUGCGAUAGUUUACUGAGAGUUUUAGUUGUUCUAAUCUGCCACUCUCAGUGUUAUCUUCUGCCUAAAGCCAGUUCCCCAGUGGCACUUAGAAUAACAUGCCAAUUUAUUCAUCUAGGCAGAAUAGAGCUUAGAUUCUCACUGCCUUAACUUAGUUUAGGCCUGUCCACUACAACCCAUUCAGGAACUAAUCUACUGUAGGAAACUGUAAUGCAAUGUGGCAAAUUCAGUGUAUUAUCGAAACAUAGAGCACCUCAGCUGACGAAGUCAUGAAUUUAGCUGUGGGGAUGGGCGGGGAGCCACCUAGGUGAUACCAAAAGUUUGUGUGUAAGUUACAUAGGUAAAAGAGAGAAGGCUGUCUGCACGGCAGGGACUGCUUUAACAAAAGGUUGUGGACAGGGGAGCUGUGCACAGGGAAACAUCCAAAAUAGGAACUUUUAUGCUUCUAGAGCAUAGCAUUUAGAGGCAAAGGAAGUAGUUGGAGUGAUGAGUAGAUGCCUGAACAAGGAGGGGAGUCAUGAUAAGGAUCCCAUAGGAAAUAAGCAACUGGAGAUCAUCACCAGGGAAUUAAGAUGAUCAGAUUCCCGUCAGUACAGCCAAAGUGUAGAGGGAGGUAAGUUAGGAGGUUGUUGAAGUAACCCAGGAUAGAGGUAUCUUGGAUUUCUUACUAGGGAGCAAGUUGACUGCAGAUUUGAGAAACAUUACGGAAAUAAACAUGACUUGUUAAUUUCAGUGUCAAUGAGGGUAAGGAAAUAAUCUCUGACUUUUCUAGUCAUCUCCCCAAGAUAUCAGGCUUACAGUGUAUUAACUGUAAAGCCUAAACUUGUUACCUUUUGAGAAAGGAGUGAUCAUUACUUUGUCUACCUUACUGUAAAGAACUGGCGCCCAAGACGGUGGGAACCUUUGAGAGUGGUGCUCUUGGGUUUGGAACGCAUUAAAGAGAUACCUAGCUAGGGUGGAUAUUCAUGCUAAGACAGAAGAGGGGUAUAUUUUUUAGCAGAAGCAGAGUUGUAGCUUUAUUUCAUAAAUGUUUUGAGUGUCUACUAUAUUUCAUUUAAAAUAUAAGAGCUU
rnacentral:lncRNA from 10 species